rnacentral:lncRNA from 1 species
GAUCGUUCCAGAAGUGGCCUUGGGCUGGGGAUCACCAUAGCUUUUCUAGCUACGCUGAUCACGCAGUUUCUCGUGUAUAAUGGUGUCUAUCAGUAUACAUCCCCAGAUUUCCUCUAUAUUCGUUCUUGGCUCCCUUGUAUAUUUUUCUCAGGAGGCGUCACGGUGGGGAACAUAGGACGACAGUUAGCUAUGGGUGUUCCUGAAAAGCCCCAUAGUGAUUGAGUCUUCAAAACCACCGAUUCUGAGAGCAAGGAAGAUUUUGGAAGAAAAUCUGACUGUGGAUUAUGACAAAGAUUAUCUUUUUUCUUAAGUAAUCUAUUUAGAUCGGGCUGACUGUACAAAUGACUCCUGGAAAAAACUCUUCACCUAGUCUAGAAUAGGGAGGUGGAGAAUGAUGACUUACCCUGAAGUCUUCCCUUGACUGCCCGCACUGGCGCCUGUCUGUGCCCUGGAGCAUUCUGCCCAGGCUACGUGGGUUCAGGCAGGUGGCAGCUUCCCAAGUAUUCGAUUUCAUUCAUGUGAUUAAAACAAGUUGCCAUAUUUCAAAGCCUUGAACUAAGACUCAAUUACCAACCCGCAGUUUUGUGUCAGUGCCCAAAGGAGGUAGGUUGAUGGUGCUUAACAAACAUGAAGUAUGGUGUAAUAGGAAUAAUAUUUAUCCAAAAGAUUUUUAAAAAUAGGGCUGUGUUU